UCGAGCACUCUGCCUCAUACAAACCCUAGUGAUGUCUGACUCCCACGAACCCUAGUGCUUGCUGCUUCCACACGAACCUAGGGCUCUCUGCCUCACACGAACCCUAGCCAUGCCUGCCUCACACGAACUCUGCCUCCAUACGAACCCUAGCGCUCUCUGCCUCACAAAACCCUACUCUCUCUGCCUCUACACGGAACCGAUUUGAAGGUAAUUUGAUGUUUAGGAUUUGUCAUGUGAUUCUAUUUGUGUAUUUCAUUAUGUGUUUCAUCUUUUUACUAGGUAGCUAAAGAGAAAUUGAAGAAAUUUAUCACAGAGGCGGCAGGGGAGAAAGAGUUUCCUGACUCGAGUUCUGAUUUUCGAGCAAUUAAAGCAAGUUAUCACAGAGGCAGGUGAGAGAAUUCUAAAACUCAUUUUUUGUUCCAAUCCUGCUGAAACUGCUUUUCUGUAUCCAAGGGUCUUUGUUGAGUGAGGAGAAUGGUCUGUUUUCUUACAUGGUUCAUAGGUGAAGCUUGCCCAUUCACGUAUGAGUAAAAGAAUGACACUGCAUCGUCUUGACAUUGUUGAAUCUGAUUUGUUGAGAAAGCCAUUUGGCGGUCUGCAACAACCAUUUGCCCUUUCCAGGUUUCAGCCUUGAGGACAAGGCUAACUCUAUUGGGCAGGGAAUUGAUAUCCCACUCAGGUCCAUAGUUGUAAACCUAAGAAUAAAAAGUAGGAUUGAUUGUUUAGUGGUUCUGUUUAGGUGUAUUUCUGUUUCAAUUAGUAGAGAAGGAGUAUUUGGAGAAUGGUCGAUUCUGUUAGAGGGGAGUGGGGUUGGUCUUUUUCCUUUGGAAAAAUGUUGAGAUCAUCCUGGGGGAUUCAUC
rnacentral:lncRNA from 1 species